GACGAACGCUGGCGGCGUGCCUAAUACAUGCAAGUAGAACGCACAGUUUAUACCGUAGCUUGCUACACCAUAAACUGUGAGUUGCGAACGGGUGAGUAACGCGUAGGUAACCUGCCUGGUAGCGGGGAUAACUAUUGGAAACGAUAGCUAAUACCGCAUAAUAUUAAUUAUUGCAUGAUAAUUGAUUGAAAGAUGCAAUUGCAUCACUACCAGAUGGACCUGCGUUGUAUUAGCUAGUAGGUGAGGUAACGGCUCACCUAGGCGACGAUACAUAGCCGACCUGAGAGGGUGAUCGGCCACACUGGGACUGAGACACGGCCCAGACUCCUACGGGAGGCAGCAGUAGGGAAUCUUCGGCAAUGGACGAAAGUCUGACCGAGCAACGCCGCGUGAGUGAAGAAGGUUUUCGGAUCGUAAAGCUCUGUUGUAAGAGAAGAACGGGUGUGAGAGUGGAAAGUUCACACUGUGACGGUAUCUUACCAGAAAGGGACGGCUAACUACGUG
rnacentral:rRNA from 1 species